rnacentral:rRNA from 1 species
AAAGAUGGCUUCGGCUAUCGUUUAGGGAUGAGCUUGCGGCCCAUUAGCUUGUUGGUGAGGUAACGGCUCACCAAGGCGACGAUGGGUAGCCGACCUGAGAGGGUGAUCGGCCACAUUGGGACUGAGAUACGGCCCAGACUCCUACGGGAGGCAGCAGUAGGGAAUUUUGCGCAAUGGACGAAAGUCUGACGCAGCGACGCCGCGUGAGGGAUGACGGCCUUCGGGUUGUAAACCUCUGUUGAGUGGGACGAAAACUCGCAGGGUUAAUACCCCUGCGACCUGACGGUACCACUCGAGGAAGCUCCGGCUAACUACGUGCCAGCAGCCGCGGUAAUACGUAGGGAGCAAGCGUUGUUCGGAAUCACUGGGCGUAAAGGGAGUGUAGGCGGGAAAGUAAGUUAGGAGUGAAAUACACAGGCUUAACCUGUGGCCCGCUCUUAAUACUGCUUUUCUUGAGUAUGGGAGAGGAAGAUGGAAUUCCAGGUGUAGCGGUGGAAUGCGUAGAUAUCUGGAAGAACACCAGUAGCGAAGGCGGUCUUCUGGCCCAAUACUGACGCUGAGGCUCGAAAGCUAGGGGAGCAAACAGGAUUAGAUACCCUGGUAGUCCUAGCCGUAAACGAUGGACACUAGUUGUCGGGGGAGUCAAUCCCUCCGGUGACGAAGCUAACGCAUUAAGUGUCCCGCCUGGGGAGUACGCUCGCAAGGGUGAAACUCAAAGGAAUUGACGGGGGCCCGCACAAGCGGUGGAGCAUGUGCUUUAAUUCGAUGCAACGCGAAGAACCUUACCUGGGUUUGACAUGGGGGUGAAAGUAACCAGAGAUGGAUACCUUUCCUUCAGGAACACCCCACACAGGUGCUGCAUGGUUGUCGUCAGCUCGUGUCGUGAGAUGUUGGGUUAAGUCCCGCAACGAGCGCAACCCCUACCCUUAGUUGCCAGCGGGUUAUGCCGGGAACUCUAGGGGGACUGCCUGGACUAACCAGGAGGAAGGUGGGGAUGACGUCAAAUCCUCAUGGCCCU